UCCUCUCCACAUCGGCCACAGGUGGCCUC
rnacentral:sRNA from 1 species